rnacentral:pre_miRNA from 1 species
CACAUACUCCCUCCGUCCGAAAAAGCUUGUCCCAAGUUUGUCCCUCAAAUGGAUGUAUCUAGCACUAACUUGGUGCUAGAUACAUUCAUUUGAGGGACAAGCUUUUUCAGACGGAGGGAGUACUAA